ACAUAGAUUUGAUCAUGGCUCAGAAUCAACGCUGGCGGCGUUGCCUAACACAUGCAAGUCGAACGCGAAAGCCCCGCAAGGGGUAAGUAGAGUGGCAAACGGGUGAGUAACACGUGGGUGACCUGCCUUCGAGCGGGGGAUAACGUCCCGAAAGGGUCGCUAAUACCGCAUAAACAUCGAUGNCCUUUGAAACCAGGGGGCCGGCG
rnacentral:rRNA from 1 species